rnacentral:rRNA from 1 species
GUGGGGAAUAUUGGACAAUGGGCGAAAGCCUGAUCCAGCCAUGCCGCGUGUGUGAAGAAGGUCUUCGGAUUGUAAAGCACUUUAAGUUGGGAGGAAGGGCAGUAAGUUAAUACCUUGCUGUUUUGACGUUACCGACAGAAUAAGCACCGGCUAACUUCGUGCCAGCAGCCGCGGUAAUACGAAGGGUGCAAGCGUUAAUCGGAAUUACUGGGCGUAAAGCGCGCGUAGGUGGUUUUGUAAGUUGGAGGUGAAAUCCCCGGGCUCAACCUGGGAACUGCCUCCAAAACUGCAUGACUAGAGUACGGUAGAGGGUAGUGGAAUUUCCUUUGUAGCGGUGAAAUGCGUAGAUAUAGGAAGGAACACCAGUGGCGAAGGCGACUACCUGGACUGAUACUGACACUGAGGUGCGAAAGCGUGGGGAGCAAACAGGAUUAGAAACCCUAGUAGUCC